GUAGGUGAACCUGCGGAAGGAUCAUUAAACGUUUUCCAACGUACCAACCACGCGAACUCGUUUCUUUUUCGAGUGCUGUGCUGCUGGACUUUGAGGGUGUCAAAAUAUGGUGGGCUUCUUCGGAAGCUGUUUGACAUUCUGCAUCGCGCCGUCAAAAAGCGCGUGACAAGCCAGCCGCAUCGACCAUUUUUAUUUUAACUAUUUUAAAACGCAUUGUACCUAAUCGUACUAACAUUUUUGUGAAGUCUUG
rnacentral:misc_RNA from 1 species